GGGCCCGUAGCUCAGUUGGGAGAGCGCUGCCCUUGCAAGGCAGAGGCCCCGGGUUCAAAUCCCGGUGGGUCCA
rfam:Methanobrevibacter ruminantium M1, complete genome.